rnacentral:rRNA from 1 species
AUGAAAUUUGUGACCCGCAGCUACAACCGAGACUCGCAGCCGCUAGUUGCAACUCUUUCGACGCCCGGACGGUGGGCGUGCGCGCCGCAGGCCCAUCAAUACCGGCGCGCAGCCAUCCUCCCUUUGCCAUGGCCGCGGACGCAGGAGAAGACCCGGAACGCGCGCGAGAGCGACCCGAUCUUGCUCUUCUUGGUCUUGGUCUUUUUGGCCUUGCCGCCGCGGGCCGGCCCGACCACGCGCCGCCACAGCGCCCCUAGCGACGUCGGCGCCCUCCUUCUGGCCGCCGGCCUCGUCGUCGUCGCCGCCUUCUUCUUCCUCAUCCACAUCCUGCGGCCGGUCGGGCGUAACUACGCAAAACUUCUUAAGGCGUGA